UCCAUAAACCCCGCCUAACCCUUACCAAGUACUGAAUGACUCCAUAUCUCUUAUGGAGGACCAUAUGCUAGAACUAGUAAUAAGAAGAAGACCCUUCUCCUUAAUGUAAGUGUAAGCCGAAAUGAACUAUCACCGGCAAUUAUCGUUAAUGAAUAAAUAAUAUAAACACCCACCCCCAAGAAAAAUCUAUUAAAUUUUACGUUAAUCUUACACAAGAACAUUACAAGAAAGAUAAAAAGAAAAGGAAGGAACUCGGCAAACCACACAACCCCGCCUGUUUACCAAAAACAUCACCUCAUGACUAAAUAUAUGAGGCCCAGCCUGCCCAGUGACUAAUUUAACGGCCGCGGUAACCUAACCGUGCAAAGGUAGCACAAUCACUUGUUCAUUAAAUGUGGACUAGUAUGAACGGCAUCACGAGGGUUAUACUGUCUCCCUUUUCCCAUCAAUGAAACUGAUCUACCCGUGAAGAAGCGGGUAUAAAAAUAUAAGACGAGAAGACCCCAUGGAGCUUUAAACUCAGAAACACUAUUAUAAACAAACCUUAAAAAUAAACACCCUGAUUUCUAGUU
rnacentral:rRNA from 1 species